rnacentral:misc_RNA from 1 species
AAAAAAAAGAGCAUUCUAUGUGGAUAGAAUGGACAAGCAUACACUGCAUAAAAUAAAAAGAAUAAAUGGACAGUCAAAUUCUAACACAACUUGACUAUGAUCUUGAGUUGAAACGAACUUAUAUUAGAGUAGAUAAAUGAUGAUCCAAACCAAAUUUCAAACAGUAUUGAACAUCCACAUUAAUUUGAUAAGUCUAAGAAGUACUCGGUUGGCAUUAAUCACAAUGUAACUCAUGCACUUCCAAGAUUCCUAGGUGGCAGUAGGGGUGACCACUAUUCGGUUUGAACCGAAUAA